CAGGCCUAAUACAUGCAAGUCGGACGGGAUUCAGGGAGUAGCUUGCUACGAACUGAUGAGAGUGGCGCACGGGUGCGUAACGCGUGAGCAACCUACCCAUAUCAGGGGGAUAGCCUCUCGAAAGAGAGAUUAACACCGCAUAACAUCAUUUACCGGCAUCGGUUUUUGAUCAAAUAUUUAUAGGAUAUGGAUGGGCUCGCGUGACAUUAGCUAGUUGGAGAGGUAACGGCUCACCAAGGCUACGAUGUCUAGGGGCUCUGAGAGGAGAAUCCCCCACACUGGUACUGAGACACGGACCAGACUCCUACGGGAGGCAGCAGUAAGGAAUAUUGGUCAAUGGAGGCAACUCUGAACCAGCCAUGCCGCGUGCAGGAUGACUGCCCUAUGGGUUGUAAACUGCUUUUGUCAGGGAAUAAACCUUUCUACGUGUAGGAAGCUGAAUGUACCUGAAGAAUAAGGAUCGGCUAACUCCGUGCCAGCAGCCGCGGUAAUACGGAGGAUCCAAGCGUUAUCCGGAUUUAUUGGGUUUAAAGGGUGCGUAGGCGGUCCUAUAAGUCAGUGGUGAAAGACGGCAGCUUAACUGUCGCAGUGCCUUUGAUACUGUAGGACUUGAAUCUAUUUGAAGUGGGCGGAAUAAGACAAGUAGCGGUGAAAUGCAUAGAUAUGUCUUAGAACUCCGAUUGCGAAGGCAGCUCACUAAGUUAGUAUUGACGCUGAUGCACGAAAGCGUGGGGAUCAAACAGGAUUAGAUACCCUGGUAGUCCACGCCCUAAACGAUGAUAACUCGAUGUU
rnacentral:rRNA from 1 species